rnacentral:lncRNA from 1 species
CAUGGGUGUAUGUCUCCUCUCUGUGCCCCUGGAGCAGCUGCCAUUUCUAGUACGUACUGUGUGCGGGGCCCGGGUGGGGGCUUUCAUUCACCCACACUGUGACAGCCCCUGGAAGGACAGGUGUUGUUAACAUCCCUUGUUCAGAGGAGGAAGUGAAGCUGCAGAGAGAAAGGGGCCUGGCCCGGGGUAAAUGCAGUCAUGUCAGAGUCACAUUUAAACCCAGGGGCAGUGACUGAAGGUUGCUGAACCCUGGUUUUCUUACCUGUGAAAUGAGAUAGUAAGAGUACUCACGCCUCAGGCUCAUUGUGAACGUGUGGCACAGUCAGAUCUUCCUAGGGGACAGAGAACAGGGUCCUGCAUGCGGCACGCCCUCCGACAGCCUCGGGUUAUUGUGAUCGUCCUGGUUCAGGUGGAUUUGACGAGAGCUGGUGACUCCCUGGAAGCCGAAUGGUUCUGAAAGACUCCUGUCUUACCUCGGAUUUCGGUGCUGUCAGUCUGAAAAACAGACGUCCAUUUGGUACUCUAGAUGGACUGUCCUUCCCUGACCUAAAGCUGGGCCAUUUGGAGAUUUGGAGAACAAAGGUUGUUGGCUGUGAUUGUAGCAGAGUCCUGAGCUCCUGUGGAGAUUUGCCUCUCUCCAGCCUUGGGCUAUCUGCAUUCUUGAACAGCUCAGGACCCAGAAGGAAAAGAAGAAUGCUGACCCGCUCUGGGGAUGGCCUGAAUGAAGAGAGCGCGAUUCCUGGUGGUGGCGGCCUCGGCCUGAAGCAGCCUGGCCCUACGCUGGAAACAUUGUCUUCCCGCGGCUCGGGAGCGGGAACGCAGCCCCUGGCUGAGUGA